rnacentral:rRNA from 1 species
GAUGAACGCUGGCGGCGUGCCUAAUACAUGCAAGUCGAGCGAACAGACGAGGAGCUUGCUCCUCUGACGUUAGCGGCGGACGGGUGAGUAACACGUGGAUAACCUACCUAUAAGACUGGGAUAACUUCGGGAAACCGGAGCUAAUACCGGGUAAUAUAUUGAACCGCAUGGUUCAAUAGUGAAAGACGGUUUUGCUGUCACUUAUAGAUGGAUCCGCGCCGCAUUAGCUAGUUGGUAAGGUAACGGCUUACCAAGGCAACGAUGCGUAGCCGACCUGAGAGGGUGAUCGGCCACACUGGAACUGAGACACGGUCCAGACUCCUACGGGAGGCAGCAGUAGGGAAUCUUCCGCAAUGGGCGAAAGCCUGACGGAGCAACGCCGCGUGAGUGAUGAAGGUCUUCGGAUCGUAAAACUCUGUUAUUAGGGAAGAACAAAUGUGUAAGUAACUAUGCACGCCUUGACGGUACCUAAUCAGAAAGCCACGGCUAACUACGU